rnacentral:rRNA from 1 species
UCUACGGGAGGCAGCAGUGAGGAAUAUUGGUCAAUGGCCGAGAGGCUGAACCAGCCAAGUCGCGUGAGGGAAGACGGCCCUACGGGUUGUAAACCUCUUUUGUCUGGGAGCAAAGCGAACCACGUGUGGUUCAUUGUGUGUACCCGAUGAAAAAGCAUCGGCUAACUCCGUGCCAGCAGCCGCGGUAAUACGGAGGAUGCGAGCGUUAUCCGGAUUUAUUGGGUUUAAAGGGUGCGCAGGCGGGGGGGAAAGUCAGUGGUCAAAGUUCGGGGCUCAACCGCGAACUGCCGUUGAAACUGGAUGCCUUGAGUGCACGAGAGGUAUGCGGAAUGCGUGGUGUAGCGGUGAAAGGCAUAGAUAUCACGAAGAACUCCGAUUGCGAAGGCAGCACACCGGAGUGCAACUGACGCUCAUGCACGAAAGCGUGGGUAUCGAACAGGAUUAGAUACCCGAGUAGUC